AAUGAACGCUGGCGGCAUGCCUUACACAUGCAAGUCGAACGGCAGCAUGACCUAGCUUGCUAGGUUGAUGGCGAGUGGCGAACGGGUGAGUAAUGCAUCGGAACGUGCCUUUUAGUGGGGGAUAACGUAGCGAAAGUUACGCUAAUACCGCAUAUUCUCUGAGGAGGAAAGCAGGGGACCUUCGGGCCUUGCGCUAGAAGAGCGGCCGAUGUCGGAUUAGCUAGUUGGUGAGGUAAAGGCUCACCAAGGCAACGAUCCGUAGCGGGUCUGAGAGGAUGAUCCGCCACACUGGGACUGAGACAAGGCCCAGACUCCUACGGGAGGCAGCAGUGGGGAAUUUUGGACAAUGGGCGCAAGCCUGAUCCAGCCAUGCCGCGUGAGUGAAGAAGGCCUUCGGGUUGUAAAGCUCUUUCGGCUGGGAAGAAAUCGCACCCUCUAAUACAGGGUGUGGAGGACGGUACCAGCAUAAGAAGCACCGGCUAACUACGU
rnacentral:rRNA from 1 species